rnacentral:rRNA from 1 species
AUUGAACGCUGGCGGCAUGCCUUACACAUGCAAGUCGAACGGCAGCGCGGGGCAACCUGGCGGCGAGUGGCGAACGGGUGAGUAAUACAUCGGAACGUACCCAAAAGUGGGGGAUAACGUAGCGAAAGUUACGCUAAUACCGCAUACGUUCUACGGAAGAAAGUGGGGGACCUUCGGGCCUCAUGCUUUUGGAGCGGCCGAUGUCUGAUUAGCUAGUUGGUAGGGUAAAGGCCUACCAAGGCGACGAUCAGUAGCUGGUCUGAGAGGACGACCAGCCACACUGGGACUGAGACACGGCCCAGACUCCUACGGGAGGCAGCAGUGGGGAAUUUUGGACAAUGGGCGCAAGCCUGAUCCAGCAAUGCCGCGUGAGUGAAGAAGGCCUUCGGGUUGUAAAGCUCUUUUGUCAGGGAAGAAACGGUCGGGGUUAAUACCUCUGGCUAAUGACGGUACCUGAAGAAUAAGCACCGGCUAACUACGUGCCAGCAGCCGCAGUAA